rnacentral:rRNA from 2 species
AGCGUACACGGUGGAUGCCCUGGCAGUCAGAGGCGAUGAAGGACGUGCUAAUCUGCGAAAAGCGUCGGUAAGGUGAUAUGAACCGUUAUAACCGGCGAUGUCCGAAUGGGGAAACCCAGUGCAAUUCGUUGCACUAUCGUUAACUGAAUACAUAGGUUAACGAGGCGAACCGGGGGAACUGAAACAUCUAAGUACCCCGAGGAAAAGAAAUCAACCGAGAUUCCCCCAGUAGCGGCGAGCGAACGGGGAGCAGCCCAGAGUCUGAAUCAGCUUGUGUGUUAGUGGAACGGUCUGGAAAGUCCGACGGUACAGGGUGAUAGUCCCGUACACCAAAAUGCACAGGUUGUGAACUCGAAGAGUAGGGCGGGACACGUGGUAUCCUGUCUGAAUAUGGGGGGACCAUCCUCCAAGGCUAAAUACUCCUGACUGACCGAUAGUGAACCAGUACCGUGAGGGAAAGGCGAAAAGAACCCCGGCGAGGGGAGUGAAAAAGAACCUGAAACCGUGUACGUACAAGCAGUGGGAGCACCUUCGGGUGUGACUGCGUACCUUUUGUAUAAUGGGUCAGCGACUUAUAUUCUGUAGCAAGGUUAACCGUAUAGGGGAGCCGCAGGGAAACCGAGUCUUAACUGGGCGUUAAGUUGCAGGGUAUAGACCCGAAACCCGGUGAUCUAGCCAUGGGCAGGUUGAAGGUUGGGUAACACUAACUGGAGGACCGAACCGACUAAUGUUGAAAAAUUAGCGGAUGACUUGUGGCUGGGGGUGAAAGGCCAAUCAAACCGGGAGAUAGCUGGUUCUCCCCGAAAGCUAUUUAGGUAGCGCCUCGUGAAUUCAUCUUCGGGGGUAGAGCACUGUUUCGGCUAGGGGGUCAUCCCGACUUACCAACCCGAUGCAAACUACGAAUACCGAAGAAUGUUAUCACGGGAGACACACGGCGGGUGCUAACGUCCGUCGUGAAGAGGGAAACAACCCAGACCGCCAGCUAAGGUCCCAAAGUCAUGGUUAAGUGGGAAACGAUGUGGGAAGGCACAGACAGCCAGGAUGUUGGCUUAGAAGCAGCCAUCAUUUAAAGAAAGCGUAAUAGCUCACUGGUCGAGUCGGCCUGCGCGGAAGAUGUAACGGGGCUAAACCAUGCACCGAAGCUGCGGCAGCGACACUAUGUGUUGUUGGGUAGGGGAGCGUUCUGUAAGCCUGCGAAGGUGACCUGUGAGGGUUGCUGGAGGUAUCAGAAGUGCGAAUGCUGACAUAAGUAACGAUAAAGCGGGUGAAAAGCCCGCUCGCCGGAAGACCAAGGGUUCCUGUCCAACGUUAAUCGGGGCAGGGUGAGUCGACCCCUAAGGCGAGGCCGAAAGGCGUAGUCGAUGGGAAACAGGUUAAUAUUCCUGUACUUGGUGUUACUGCGAAGGGGGGACGGAGAAGGCUAUGUUAGCCGGGCGACGGUUGUCCCGGUUUAAGCAUGUAGGCUGGUUAUCCAGGCAAAUCCGGAUAAUCAAGGCUGAGGUGUGAUGACGAGGCACUACGGUGCUGAAGUAACAAAUGCCCUGCUUCCAGGAAAAGCCUCUAAGCAUCAGGUAACAUCAAAUCGUACCCCAAACCGACACAGGUGGUCAGGUAGAGAAUACCAAGGCGCUUGAGAGAACUCGGGUGAAGGAACUAGGCAAAAUGGUGCCGUAACUUCGGGAGAAGGCACGCUGGUGUGUAGGUGAAGCCCCUGCGGGUGGAGCUGAGACCAGUCGAAGAUACCAGCUGGCUGCAACUGUUUAUUAAAAACACAGCACUGUGCAAACACGAAAGUGGACGUAUACGGUGUGACGCCUGCCCGGUGCCGGAAGGUUAAUUGAUGGGGUUAUCCGUAAGGAGAAGCUCUUGAUCGAAGCCCCGGUAAACGGCGGCCGUAACUAUAACGGUCCUAAGGUAGCGAAAUUCCUUGUCGGGUAAGUUCCGACCUGCACGAAUGGCGUAAUGAUGGCCAGGCUGUCUCCACCCGAGACUCAGUGAAAUUGAACUCGCUGUGAAGAUGCAGUGUACCCGCGGCAAGACGGAAAGACCCCGUGAACCUUUACUAUAGCUUGACACUGAACAUUGAGCCUUGAUGUGUAGGAUAGGUGGGAGGCUUUGAAGCGUGGACGCCAGUCUGCGUGGAGCCAACCUUGAAAUACCACCCUUUAAUGUUUGAUGUUCUAACGUUGGCCCCUUACCGGGGUUGCGGACAGUGUCUGGUGGGUAGUUUGACUGGGGCGGUCUCCUCCCAAAGCGUAACGGAGGAGCACGAAGGUUAGCUAAUCCUGGUCGGACAUCAGGAGGUUAGUGCAAUGGCAUAAGCUAGCUUGACUGCGAGCGUGACGGCGCGAGCAGGUGCGAAAGCAGGUCAUAGUGAUCCGGUGGUUCUGAAUGGAAGGGCCAUCGCUCAACGGAUAAAAGGUACUCCGGGGAUAACAGGCUGAUACCGCCCAAGAGUUCAUAUCGACGGCGGUGUUUGGCACCUCGAUGUCGGCUCAUCACAUCCUGGGGCUGAAGUAGGUCCCAAGGGUAUGGCUGUUCGCCAUUUAAAGUGGUACGCGAGCUGGGUUUAGAACGUCGUGAGACAGUUCGGUCCCUAUCUGCCGUGGGCGCUGGAGAAUUGAGGGGGGCUGCUCCUAGUACGAGAGGACCGGAGUGGACGCAUCACUGGUGUUCGGGUUGUCAUGCCAAUGGCACUGCCCGGUAGCUAAAUGCGGAAGAGAUAAGUGCUGAAAGCAUCUAAGCACGAAACUUGCCCCGAGAUGAGUUCU